UAUACCGCAUACGCCCUUCGGGGGAAAGAGUUUAUCGGAGAAGGAUCGGCCCGCGUUAGAUUAGAUAGUUGGUGGGUAACGGCCUACCAAGUCUACGAUCUAUAGCUGGUUUUAGAGGAUGAUCAGCAACACUGGGACUGAGACACGGCCCAGACUCCUACGGGAGGCAGCAGUGGGGAAUCUUAGACAAUGGGCGCAAGCCUGAUCUAGCCAUGCCGCGUGUGUGAUGAAGGUCUUAGGAUCGUAAAGCACUUUCGCCAGGGAUGAUAAUGACAGUACCUGGUAAAGAAACCCCGGCUAACUCCGUG
rnacentral:rRNA from 1 species